AGGGGUGGGAAUUUCGGGAUCGGGUAAUCGGGUACCCGAUACCCGACCCGAAAAAAUCGGGUAUCGGGUACCCUAUACCCGAAAAAAUCGGGGUCGGGGUCGGGGUCGGGUAUUUAGGCUGUGAAAAAAUCGGGUAUCGGGUAUACCCGAUCGGGUAUCGGGUAUACCCGAAUUACCCGAUUUUUUAUUAAGUAUAUAUUAAAUUAUAAUUAUCUAAUUAAUUUUCCCACAGCCCUACACUCUGACUUCCGCGGCGCUCCCAAUUCCCAAACUCACUCUUCACACUCUAUGUUCCCUAAUCCCUAAUCCCUACACUCUGUCUGACUUCCGCGGCGCCACCGGCCACGACCCAAUCACCCAGUGGCGUCGGCCUCUCGCCGUCGUCCCACCCGCCACCGGCCACGACCCAGCGGCGUCGGCCUCUCGCGAGUCGCGACCCUCGCCUUCCAGCCACGCAGCUUCCUCCGUCGCGAGUCGUCGACCCAGCCACGCAGCUGCCUCCGUCGUCCCAGCAGCCGCGCGCCAGACCAGCCAUGCCAUGCCGCCGAGCUUCUACGCCUUCUCUUCUUCUUCUUCUUCUCUUCUUCUUCUUCUUUUUUUAUUUCUUUUUUUUAAAUACAGAUUUUCUAUGUAUGAUUUUGUAUGAUUUGUAUGAAUUUCGACUGAAUUCAUUUGGGGAAUGGCGUAAAAACUAUCGGGUAAUGGGGAAUUUCGACUGAAUUCAUUUGAGCUUUCUUUUUUUUUUUUUUUUGAUGAAAUUACAUUAUAAAUAAUACAAACCACACACACCCCACCUAGUGGUUAUUGUGGCCGAGAGUACUCGAACCUGUGACCUCUUGGACAACAGGCAACCACCCCAACCACUAGGCCAUCCCAAGGGGACAACAUUUGAGCUUUCUUGAUCUGCUUUGAAUUGGCUCGAUUUUGGGUUGAAUUUUGGUGGAAUUUUGGGUUGAUUUCGACUGAAUUGGCUCGAUUUUGGGCUGGGAAUUUCGACUGAAUUGGCUCGAUUUUGGGUUGAAUUUCAUUAUCGGGUAAUUUAGGGUACCCGAAUACCCGACUCGGGUACCCGAGUCGGGUAUUAGGGUACCCGAUUUCAAUUUCGGGUUCGGGUUCGGGUAGCAAAUUUAGGGUAUUUUCGGGUUCGGGUACCCGAUUUUUUCGGGUAGGGUACCCGAACCCGACCCGAUUCCCAGCCCUA
rnacentral:lncRNA from 1 species